UUCUUUCUGAUAUAUUAUUGCAAGUAACACCUGCUCAAUGAUUAUUUUAAUAGCCGCGGAAAUUUAACUGUGCUAAGGUAGCAUAAUCAUUAGCCUCUUAAUUAGAGGCUUGUAUGAAUGGUGAAACAUUUCGAUUUCUUUCUAAAUUAUUUUACCUGAAUCUUAAUUAAGAAUUAAAAUGUUCUUAUAAAACAAAUAGACGAUAAGACCCUUUUGAACUUUACUUUUGUUUAGCUGGGGCAGCUAAAAAAUAAAAAUCUUUUUUUUUAUUUUAUUUUAAAUGACCCAAUUUAAUUGAUUUAUUGACCAAGUUACCAUAGGGAUAACAGCGUAAUAUUUUUUUAAAGCUCUUAUUUAAAAAAAAGAUUACGACCUCGAUGUUGAAUUAAUGUCACUUUAAAAGUGCAAUAACUUUAAAAGUGGGUCUGUUCGACCCAUAAAACAUUACAU
rnacentral:rRNA from 1 species